rnacentral:rRNA from 1 species
UGUUCGCCAUUUAAAGUGGUACGCGAGCUGGGUUUAGAACGUCGUGAGACAGUUCGGUCCCUAUCUGCCGUGGACGUUUGAGAUUUGAGAGGGGCUGCUCCUAGUACGAGAGGACCGGAGUGGACGAACCUCUGGUGUUCCGGUUGUCACGCCAGUGGCAUUGCCGGGUAGCUAUGUUCGGAAAAGAUAACCGCUGAAAGCAUCUAAGCGGGAAACUUGCCUCAAGAUGAGAUCUCACUGGGAACUUGAUUCCCCUGAAGGGCCGUCGAAGACUACGACGUUGAUAGGCUGGAUGUGUAAGCGUUGUGAGGCGUUGAGCUAACCAGUACUAAUUGCCCGUGAGGCUUGACCAUAUAACACCCAAACA